rnacentral:rRNA from 1 species
UACGGGGGGGGCAAGCGUUGUUCGGAAUUACUGGGCGUAAAGGGCGCGUAGGCGGCCAACUAAGUCAGACGUGAAAUCCCUCGGCUUAACCGGGGAACUGCGUCUGAUACUGGAUGGCUUGAGUUUGGGAGAGGGAUGCGGAAUUCCAGGUGUAGCGGUGAAAUGCGUAGAUAUCUGGAGGAACACCGGUGGCGAAGGCGGCAUCCUGGACCAACACUGACGCUGAGUGAGCGAAAGCCAGGGGAGCAAACGGG